rnacentral:ncRNA from 2 species
GGUCAUGAGUGCCAGCGACAGCCCCGGCUUGCUGGCCGGCAACCCUCUUUUGCGGUGGGGUGCCCCGGGUGAGGACCUGGCCUGCCGGUCAAUUGACGGCGGGCAAGCGCAUAGA